UUUGAUAAAGUCCCUCACAGCAAGUAUAGGCUUAAUAACAUGGCUUCCUGAGUGAAAGUAAACAGCGUAUAUAUAUUCAUGGAAAAUACUCGAAAUGGCACAGGGUCACAAGCGGGAUUCCGCAGGGCUCCGUCCUAGGUCGUGUCUUGUUCGUCAUUUUUAUCAAUGAUUUACCUGAUUGUGUAAAUUCAGAAGUGUUUUUCUUUGCUGACGAAACCAAACUGUUGAGUGACAUGAAAACUGAAAACGACGUUGUAACCUUACAACAUGACUAGAACAACCUCCUUGACUAGAGUGUUGAAUGGAUUCUACGGUUCCACCCAAACAAAUGCAAUGUGCUGAAGGUUCAAAACAAAUUGAAAGAAAAAAAAACCAACUGCAGAUACAUCAUGAAGAAGUGUGAUGGAACAACAGCAACUAUAGAGUCAGUGGAAUCAGAAAAAAAAAUAUUGGAGUCAACGUCGAUAGUUAUGUUUGGAUAAGCAUAUUCAAACACAGAUUAACAAGGCAAAUCAAAUAGUUAGCAUUAUCCGACGAGCAUUCUGCUCAUUAGAUUAUAUAUAAUUCUGUUUAUUAUUCAAGGCAUUCGUGCUACCUCAUCUAGAAUAUGUGAACAAUGUAUGGGACCCCUAUAAAUGUAAAGACACUGCAUCUAUUGAGAAUGUACAAAGAAGAGCCACAAAAAUACUUACUUCUAUGAACAUCUCAUAGAAUCGAACUGAUUUUGAAAAAAAAAUGUUAAAAAAAAUAUUAAGACACAGAUGUCUGAUCAUUUUGUACAUGAAUUUAUAUCUACUGUAUGUUAAUGUCAAUACUAAAUUCAAUACCAUUUUUCCUUAAGAAAUUUAUAUUUAAAUAUAUAUAUAUAUAUAUAUAUAGUUUGUAUUUCUCGCGAAUAUAAUAAUUUAAUAAUACUACUUGUCCCAUUAUAACUAUAAUUCUAGUAUGUACUUUUAAUUGUGUAUUUAACACAUUUAUUCAAGAUGUCAUUGUUUGAAGACACGUGCUUUAAUGAUAUUUAAUAAAAUGUGUCUGUUUCUUG
rnacentral:sRNA from 1 species